GCGUGUGUGUGCUGGGGGAGGGGUUGUCUGUAAAUAAGAAAGAAGUAAAUAAAAUACUUCAAGCGGGUGGGCCUCGAUCCCACGUGCUCAAGCUGCCAGCCUGGCACCUCCCCCAAGGGCUGUGCCCCAAAGCCCUGGCCUACGGAGAAGCAGGGCUGUCUGGAGAGCACAGGUGCAAGGUGAGGGCGUCUCUGAGCGCGUGACCUUGACCUCUAGGCCCCUAGCUGCCUCCUCUGGGUGGCUGGCUAGUUUUGGUGAGUGCUGGACCGCCCGGGCCGCCUCCUGCCUCUCUGCCGCGUUCUUGUCCCCAAGAUGCCCCUGCUCUUUGGAAGAGCCGAGGCGGAGGGAGCAGCUGUGAAAACAAACCCGCGGCUGGGCUGCGGAGUGGAGGGCUGGGGACUGUUUUCUGGGGUCUGCCUGGGCCCACAACCCCCUCGCAGUCACAGUGGGCGCUCUGGCCCAAACCCAGGACUGGGAGGGUGGCCUCGCCCCUUGAGCGCCGGGGAGCCAGCCAGUGAGCCAGCGCUGCCUGCUGCUGUUUCCUCACAAAGGCCGUCCUCAGGGGGUGCUCUCAGCCCCCUGACUGACUGUGGCCCUGCCUGGACCGGAGAGAAAAUAUUUAGAGAAGGGGCGUCUCCUCCCUCCUGGGCAGCUGCUGCCUCUCCAGGCGCUGGGAGUGGUCCCCGCCUCGCUCCCGACACACCCCACCUUUGGGGGGCAGGCGAUUGGCCGUGGGCCAGAGGCCAAGCCGCCUGCAGUAGGGGUGUGGACGCCCCUCCCCCCACCCCAGUGGGCGGACCUCCGGGCCGGCUUAUUAUAGCCCUGAUGGGAGUUCCUGGUAAGUCGUGCACCGUUUGCGCCUCAGAGUUGCUGCGCCUGAAGCCUCAUGUUGAGAAAUGGUCCCUGGACAUGUCAGCUCCCCCCUACCCCCCCAGCCUUCCCUCCAGGUACAGCCCAGGACGCCUGUUGCCUUCUCUGGAAUCCACUGAAAUGAGGCUGGAACUUUCUAGAAGCUUCUGAGGGUAGCUGGAGACCUACAUCCAAUGACUGACACACAGGAUGUGGGCAGAGCAGCAGCUGUUGCAAUGAUCCAUGACAAAAUGAUGCAUGACAAACCAUUCCAAAACCCAGUGACUUAAAAUAAUAAUAGCACUGGAUUUCUUUGUGAACACUUGGUUUGGGCAGCGCUUCCCGGAGACGGGUCUUCUCCGCUUGCCUCGGUAUCAGCUGGGGUGGCUGGGAGCUGAAGGCCUGCUCGGCAACAUGUCUGGCACUUGACCUUGGCUGUUGGCUGAGACUUGAGCUGAAUUUAUCGACGAGAGUGUCUAAAUGUGGCCUCUCCAAGUGGCUGCUUGGUUUCCAAGAGUGAGCGUCCCGAGAGAGAGAGAGAGAGAGAGAGAGAGAACUCAGGUGGAAGCCAUUAGAGUGGGAGGAGUCACUGGGUAUCACUUCCACCAUAUUCUCUUGGCUAGAAACCUGUCCCUAAGAGUGGCCUACAUUCAAGAGGAAGGAGUCAGACCCUACCUAUGGAUGGGAGAAAUGUCAAAGAAUUUGCGGUCAUGUUUCAGAACCACCUCCGUGGUUCACAGCUGCCUUGCGAGAAUCAAAGCACCAGCUACCCAGCGGGGCCUCUGUGGAAGCCAGAGGAGAGAGAGCCAUGCUUCCUUGGAACAAGGCUACACCAGCAGUGCUCUGCACAGGGGAAUACUAUGGUGCCUUUUCAUAUGGCGGCGGGAAAUUAAGGUUUCUUACGAAGGCAGCAUUUGGCUGCAAGUGAGAAAGAAAUCUAAAGCAAAGUGGAGGCAGGAUCCUUUCUCGCAUGCCAAUCUGGAGACGAGCAGGGUACGGGCUGACCACGACUCCGCCACGCCAGACCCAACCUAGGCUCUUUCUAUUCCACUGCUCGACCAUGCAUGGCCUCUGUUUUCCUGGUUCUUUCACGGUCAAAGACACCUGUUGCAGCUGCAGUGCGCACGUCCAUGUUGUGGACAGAGGGAAAGAGGAAAGGCCCAAGAAGUAGCAGCCGCAGAGGCUACCCACUGCAGUGGAGUGUCACUCGCUCUGUCCGGAGAACCGCAUCGUUAGCCGAUUUCAUCAUUGUGCUGACACAGAGGGUCCUCACAGAAGCCAAGGUGGCCAUGAGCUCCUUAGACAGCACAACCUGAUGGGAGCACUGUCAUACGCGGUUCAGCGGCAACUGAAACGUCAUCAUUUGCUGCACACAGCUGUCACGUGAUGGCAUUGGCCAGAAUGUCUCCACGUGGUCACUCCUAACUGUGGGAAGCAAGGAAAUGUAGUCCCUUCCCUGGGUGGCCACGAACCCCUGCUCCAACUGCGACUCUCUUAGCAUGAAAAAAAAGAGAUAAAGGAUACCGCACGGGCUAGAAGCAGAGUCGGACUGACUUAUUAAUUAAACAAUUUUCUGUACAGACAGGACUCCUGGCUAAUUUACCUCCUCUGGUUAGAGAAAAAAUGAAAACCGGCUCUUGUUUCUGUAGCUCUUUCCCCCAGAUUCAGUUUUCCUUGGCAAUUUCUCAAGUCAGACAAUUUGGGUCUGUGUUAGGGGGAGGGGUGGGGAGGGCGCCGAUUGAAAGGUUUACAAAUUCCUCUAAUAAAACGAAUUUUUGUUUGCGGUAAAUAGGAAAG
ensembl:lncRNA